rnacentral:rRNA from 1 species
GACGAACGCUGGCGGCGUGCUUAACACAUGCAAGUCGAACGAAGUGGCGAACGGGUGAGUAACGCGUAAUCAACCUGCCCUUCAGAGGGGGACAACAGUUGGAAACGACUGCUAAUACCGCAUACCGAAGGAGGGGCUUGCGUCGGAUUAGCUAGUUGGAGGGGUAACGGGCCACCAAGGCGAUGAUCAGUGGGCGGUCGGAGAGGAUGAUCGGCCGCAUCGGGACAUGGGCACGAGCCAGACGCCGACGGAAGACAGCAGAGGGGGAACGUCCGUAAUGGACGGAAGUCUAGCGAAGCAACAGGGCGGGAGGGAUGACGGCCUUCGGGUUGUAAAGCUCUGUGAGUCGGGACGCGGUACCGGAAUAGAAAGCCACGGCUAACUACGUGCCAGCAGCCGCGGUAAUAC